GGUAGUGUAACUCAGUGGUAGAGACCAUGCUUAGAAUGUGUGAGGCUCUGGGUUCCAUCCCCAGAAUUGCCC
rnacentral:tRNA from 1 species